GACGAACGCUGGCGGCGUGCUUAACACAUGCAAGUCGAACGGAAAGGCCCUGCUUUUGUGGGGUGCUCGAGUGGCGAACGGGUGAGUAACACGUGAGUAACCUGCCCUUGACUUUGGGAUAACUUCAGGAAACUGGGGCUAAUACCGGAUAGGAGCUCCUGCUGCAUGGUGGGGGUUGGACAGUUUCGGCGGUUGGGGAUGGACUCGCGGCUUAUCAGCUUGUUGGUGGGGUAGUGGCUUACCAAGGCUUUGACGGGUAGCCGGCCUGAGCGGGUGACCGGCCACAUGGGGACUGAGAUACGGCCCAGACUCCUACGGGAGGCAGCAGUGGGGAAUAUUGCACAAUGGGCGGAAGCCUGAUGCAGCAACGCCGCGUGCGGGAUGACGGCCUUCGGGUUGUAAACCGCUUUCGCCUGUGACGAAGCGUGAGUGACGGUAAUGGGUAAAGAAGCACCGGCUAACUACGUG
rnacentral:rRNA from 1 species